AACAACACCCAGGAUGGAGUUACCUGUGAAUGCUGCAUUGUGUUCUCUGCAAUAGACAAAUGUUUGGUUAGGAAUUCACAUACAAUGACUGCUCAACAUUUUGCAAUUACAGCUUUAAAUAUAUUUUUCAAAUGUCUAAAUUCCCAGAGCAAGCAGUGACAGAUGUCAGCUGUACUCAUCCUUUACCACGUUUAAUAUGCAUCUUGAAAGGAUCUUGUUCUUUGGGAAUCACCCAGAUAAAGGCAAAAGUUGAUGCAUAAGGAAUGGCAAUAUCUUCCUGGCCACAUCUUGUGCUUUUUACUCCACUUCAUCCUCUAUCUCUGUAUUCUUCAAUACUUCUAAUUUCUGACACCCUCUCCUGACUUGGCUUUCACAGUUAUCCUUCUCACUCUCUGACUGCUGCUUUAACAUUCCUUAGGUAGUUUCUCCCCCUCCUCUGCUUAUCUCAGGGUCCUGCUUUUGGUACCCUCCUCUUCCUUAUACCUUAUCCUCCUCUGCUUGCACAGAUUCAGCUACGAUCUUUUUGCUGCUAGCUCACAAAUUGCCUUCUUCUCAUGUGACCUGCCUUCUCCUUCCCAGUUGUGUAUCUGACUUUUUUUCUGACAUAACAUUCUGGAUGGCCUGCCACCAAUUCAAGCUCAGGAUGACCAAAAAUGACUUCUCUCCCCCCAUUUCAAGCUCCCUUUGGUUCUAAACUUUCUUCAUUUUUGCUGGCAAUACCACUGUCCUCCCUGCUGCUCAGGCUCAAAAUUAGGGGUCCAAGAUUCUGCUGCAACGAUCACCUCCAGUCUCAUUACUCUUUUUUCUGAUCAUGUUACUCCCCUCUUCAAGUGCUUCCCUCAGCCCCUUCCUACCUACUGUACCAAACUUCUCAUCCUGGCCAUCACAGGCUUGCACCUCUUUGCCCCAGCCUACACCUUUGAUCUUGUUCCUUUUGUCCCACCUCAUCAUCUUAGUAUUGAAAUGAUACCAGCCUUCCUACACACUACAUGUCCCUCCUCCUACUGCCAUCUUCAUGGUGCCUCCUAAUGCGUGGAGCAGCCUUCCAGACUCAAAUCACCAGGUCCUCUCCCUCCUCAUUCAAAACCCUCAUGAAGACUUACUACUUCCACACAGCCCACAAAUACUAAGCCAUGUCAGUCACACACACUCUUUUUGCCCCAACAUAACGUGAGAGAAGUAGUAAUGAGUGAAGGAAGGUAGAGAUUUAAAAUUAAAUAAGAGCACUAUGCUCAUCAAGUUAUACCUAUAAUGUGGUGUUAUAACUCUCUCUCUUCUCCAGUUGUUUUUGUUCUCACUGCAGGACAUCUAAAAUUAGACUGUUAGUUCCUUGAGGGUAGGAACUGUGUAAAGUACAUAGUAGUUUUAGUUUUUUGUAUUAAUAAUAACUGCAAACACAAAGCAUGUAGGAUGGUAGAUACAAGAAGCAAGCAAGUCUCCCCAAAACAAAAUAAAAACUGCUAAAUAACAAUCCAGCUCCUUCAGGUGCUGAUGUGCACGAUGGAAGAAACUGGAUCACACCUGAAAUAGCAAUAGGUAAGAAAAAAAACUAAGGACUGGAUCCUCAAUUCAGUGCAGAGGGGGCAGCGCGGAUGGUAGCUCUAGGCCACCUUUACUCUUCCUCCAAUCCUCUAGGAAGAUGAGGACUGAAUCCACCUCUGGCACAAUUUAGAGCAGCCAUAGCUCUAACCUACGCCUGUUCUACUGGCCCAGGAUUGUUCCCCAACCCUUGAUGCACCUGGAAAUGCUUCCCAUUGGAUACCUUCUACACCAAGGUGGGGGGGGGCAGGUGGAGUGAAGUUGGCAUUGUCAACUUUACACCAGCUGGGGAAAUCCUCAGCUGUCCAAUUAAAGCCUUUGUACAGCUGGAGAGGUGCCUCUGGAGGAUCUUUAUCAGAGGUGAGGAUCUGGCACUUACAAACUUUGAGCUUUGUUUAUUGAGACAGAAGGAACAAAAAGUUCUGGCUCGGUGAACCUUUAGCCAGGGUACAAAUAGUCACUGUGGGGCAGGUUUUGAAAGGUAUUUAGGUGCUUAAAAGAUGUAAAUAGGAGCCUAAUGGUCUUUUUAAAAAGUACAUAGAUGCCAAAUUCCCAGUGAUUUUGAUGGGAGUUAGGCACCUAGUUGGCUUUUCAGAAUUGCCUAUCUGCAUCUUUAGGCACUUAAAUACCUUUAGAAAUCUGACCAUUUUAAAUGGAGCCCACAACAGAGACCUAGGCCAGGGAAAAUGCCUCAGCCAUAAUAUGUACAUGAUUUGAAAAAGCUAUCUUUGCAAUAUGUUUUCAGCAUGUACAGUAUAUGCUAAAUAUAAUUAAAAUACCAUUUUGAGACUACCGAAUAUGGGAUAUGUUGUAAACAUGAAUGACAUAGCCAUAUAUAUAAAUUAUAUUGUGUUAUACAGAUGUGAGUCUGAUGUGAUCUAGAGCAGAUUUGUUGCAUACAUUUUCCAUUAGUUGACUUGAAUAAAUAACUACAGGGCUGGCCUGAGGGAAGAUGGCAACCUGGGCAAAGUUGUACUGUUGUGCCCUUUCUUUGAGUUUAAGUACAGAUACACAGUAUGGUCAUAUACCUUGAGUUCACUGCAGAAGCUUUUAAGUUAUAGUAGGGACUGAGUUCACCUAUAGCUGAGACCACUGCAAAUGGCCCGGGCACCCCAUAUGCUCAGCACUGGCUGACUGAAGCACCCAAGCCUCUGGCACCAGCGAUGAGAAUGCCGGGCUGGCAGCCAUGCGAAGCACUGGGGACGUGGCAGCACUGUGAGACAUAAACUGAAGCCCAGCCCAGCACACACCUGGCAUGGGGUCUGUUUUCCCCAGCUGCCAGAAAUCUGCCCAGGGAGCCCCGUUGCCUCCAUUCCUUAGCACUGCCCAACCCCGGACACUGCUGUAUGCCCCCAUGGGCAUUUGGAGGCAGGUGAGUGGCUACUCUGGCAGGUGGGCUGCACCAGGCAGCCCGGGAUGAGUGCAGGAGACACCAGGGAGAAGCAGAUCUCUCUCUGGCAGUCUCCUUGCCCCACCCAGCCCAGUUCAGACUGGCACAGCCCCAGGGGCAAGGCCAAACCUGCCCUGCAGGGUGCUCCCCUGUGCCUGCUGGGGUUCCCACAGCUUGCCUUGGAGCAGACCCUCCCCAGCUGCAAGCUGCAACAACACCCCUGCAACUUCAGCCUUUCCCCAGCUGAGAGUUGGUCCUACCUGCCCGUCCCCUCUGCUGAGCUGGGACACUGUGUGGGCCAACAAAGCCAUCCAUUAAUGGAGCCCAGCUGACAGCUCUCACCUCUUAACCUGCCUGGGCGCCGGCACCCUCUUGACCAUGGUGCCCUGGGAGAUCGUGCAUGUCGCCCACCAGUAAGGCGGGCCCUGAAUAACUGCUUGAAUAUAUUAAACAUAUUAGAUGAAAGCAGCGCUGUAGGGCCCAGUGCUGCAAGAUACUGAGUACUCUCAAUGCCUAUUCACUUUGAUGUAUGAUUGAGCCCUAUAUAAUGUACCUUGUUAGUUCCCGUGGUCAUAUGAGUAUUCCCUGGUCUGUGUUCUGCUGCCAGUCGCCACACUUAUCUUUGGACUCUUCCCUCUUGAGCUAGGCAUUUUUCUUGGCCAGGGUUAUGGUGGCUUUCAGGCCCUCUUUGGGUUUCCUAUCAAUCUGUGUAAGUAAGUGGUCUCCACCAAUGGCUUGUUCCUGCUGAGUGUCCUUAUCUCCCACUGACGUUCUACAGGAGGUGCUCAGCUCUUCACAGGAUUUGACCUACGCACCUGUCUUGCAAAGCUGGUUCAGGUAUGUCCUAGGUCCUCUAUGGGCCUAUAGUGAGGCGGUGUGGUUCCCUGCCACCCCAGAGGGGGAAGAGCCCAUCCGGAGGCCAGAGUGGGCAGAGCUAGGGAGCUCUGAGCCCGCCCCUCAGAGAGUCAGGCGGCGACCCAGAAGUAUAAAAACCCACGGUCCAAGGCGGCCGCCAGGAGUGGCCGGGCCUGCCCUGUGCCCGCUACCCGGAGGAGUUGCCGGGCCUGCCGCUCGCUGAGGAACCUAUGGUGCUGGAUCCCCUAGAGGACAACACCCAGAUCCAGGUACUACCCGAGGGGAGUCUGGAAGUAGCCCGGGGGCAGCCGACCCUAGUCUGGCUGCAGCACUGCCAGAGCACAUGUCAGUGUGUUGCGGCCAGGAUCCCCACUGACUAAGCGGUGGGUCUUCUGCCGCUGCUAGUAUCCUGGGCUGGGAGUGGGAGGGCCUGCGCCCCCCGUGUCACCCAACUCGUGAGUGGCAGUCUCCCCCUCUUCCAGGCCUUUGAAGGCUUGGGGCCUACUGUUGUUGCUCAGCCCUGCCUGAGGGCCUGAGCUCUGACCCUGCACUGCCCCACCCUGACCUAGGGCAUGGGCUUGCUACUGUUUGUACUGUUGUUGCUCAGCCCUGCCUGAGGGCCUGAGCUCCUGACUCCAUUUUGCCCUGACCUAGGGCCUGGGCUUACAGUGUUUGUUCCAGUACCGCAAGGGCUGCCGAGGAAGACCCCGCGGACAGACUAAUUCCCCAAAUGUCAAUGGCGGUUAGUGAGCCGGUAUGGCUCCCCACCGUCCCGGAGGGGGUUGAGCCCUGGCAAACUCUUGUACAGGGCCCAUUUGAUUUGCUUCCUCCCCUGCAGUUAUUCAGUAGCCUCACACUGUACACGCAAACCAAGAAAGCAUGGUUGAUCAAAGACAGAGGUGUGCAGAGGCAGGCUGAUGAGAGAAGGGAAGAGUGGAGGAUGUAGAGGUAGGAUGAGGAGUGGUAAAGCUGCAACUCCAGCAGGCAGCAGCAGUCACUUGGAGUAGAGUCCUGGAACCCACAAGCAAGGGGAGAGAAGGCACCCAAGAUGCCCUGGAGAUGCAAUCCCAUCCAGGUGAGUAACAGUGCAACAGAGAAGAGGACCCUCCCCAAACAUCAACUAUUCCCAUUCUCUUGCCCAGAGAGGGAAGAAGAGUGGCGGGUGUUUCAGCAAAUGGUGAAGUUAAUAUGGGCCUGUGGGAAACUCCAUGAAGUUCUGGUUGGUGGACGGGGCAUUGGGGCACUCUGCUAGGCAUCAGGAGUGUUUUUAAUCAGUGAACCCAACAUGCUCAGCACUUUGAGGGUGCAACAAUUCUUUUAUGGUUUGGAAUCUGCCUGCCUGAGAGGGCCUGUUCCAGCCUGCAGGGCCUCCACCCCAACAGGUUUUGCAAAAACAGCUCUGCUGUGUUGAGGGCGAAAUACAAUGGGAGGAUUUGGCCCAAUGUUAUAAUGGAAUGCCAGUUCUAGGUCAGGGAGUAGGAGCUGCCAGAUAAAGGAUGUUACAGGUGAUUGUUUGUGUACUUUAUAUAUUUAUGUUGCAUAUCCUCUGUUGCUAGAUUCCUCUGUCUUCAUUUCCUGAAUUCUUAUGUGUUGAGAAAUUACUGAUUCAUAGCUGGAUCUGCCCUUGAUCCUUCUCCAAAAUAAAAGUAGACGCUACAAACAAAAACUGUGUAUAACAUUUAAGAAAAACCAUCUAAUGGACAAUUGCUGAGCAACAUUUCUGUGGGGAGGGUGCCUAAACACACUUUUACCACUUGCUGAUGACCCUUAUCAGGGCCGGCUCCAGGGUUUUUGCUGCCCCAAGCGGCACAAAAAAAAAAAAAAAAAAAAAAAAGCCGCGAUCGCGAUCUGCAGCAGCAAUUUGGUGGGAGGUCCUUCGCUCUAAGCAGGAGUGAAGGACCGUCCGCUGAAUUGCUGCCGAAUAGCUGGAUGUGCCACCGCUCUCCAGAGUGGCCGCCCCAAGCACCUGCUUGGCAAACUGGUGCCUGGAGCCGGCCCUGACUGGUAUAGUUACAACAAGACAUGAGCCCUUACAAUGCCAAUGACUUUGAAAAUGUAAGAAUCACACAGAGGUAAGACCUCAGGCACCACUAAAAUGUUUUCACUUAAUAAUAGCUUGUUCUUAUACAGCACUUUUCAUCAGUAGAUCACAAAAGGCUUUACAAAUAACUAUCUUCAUUUUACAGAUGGGAAACUGAGGCACGGAGAAGUGACGUGACUAAUGCAAGGUCACCCAGCAGGCCAGUAGCAGAAUAGGAAAUAGAACCAAGGUCUGCUGAGUCCCUGUCCAGUACUCGCUCCAUUAAGCAACAUUAUCAGGACCAAUUCAACAUUGAGACUAAGUACAACUUACAACCUGUCUCCUUUGGACUCAGUAGGGCAAAUUCAAAAGUGACAUGUGAGGCGGUGUAAGUUACAUGUCAGUAAUCGAGUGUGAGUCUGUUGGUCUAACAUGUAUGCUGUUUGGGGCAGGAAUUAGGUGUAAAUGAUAUCUAGACACCCCAUGCCUGCUGACAGCGGGUGGGGGGGGAGCACAAUGCCAGAACAGCUUCAGUUACUGCCCCCCCCACAACCCCUCCCCUUCCAGAAAGCAAUGGUCCCUCCUGCAGCUCCCAGCUGUUCCUCUGCUCCUGCCUCUGCCUCUCCCUACCCCGUGCAGCUUGCUGGCUCAGCUGUUCUGCAGGGAGGGGGCCCAGUCACACCAUGUGACCAAGCAAUCUGGGGGGGCAUGUGACCCCACAUGCCCUCUCCAACACGCUUGAACAUUGGCACACAGAUGCGUAAAAAAUAAAACAUUGUGAACUCUAAAUGCCACAUGCUAGUGUGAACCAUUGGAGUAAGACAUUUAGUCACUUAUUAAAACAGUAUUUGAGCAUUAGGAUAAACCUCACUUGUCCACUUACUAACAAAAGGCUCCGUUCGAUAAAUCUCACUCACUUCUGAGAGUCCGGUGAAGUGAAGUAAGUUUUGUCCAUUCCUUUAUGUUAUUUUUUGAAAUUUGCUAUUUGCCUACUUGGAAACAAAAUUAAAAUCAAUAGUUUUCUUUCAGUAAAGUUGUCUCUGCAUUUUGUUUUUCAGAGGAAAAGAGGGUCCUGUGACCUGCUAUCAGUGUUGGUUUUCUCUGCUGAGUGGAGGGUCUUGGAGCUAGAUUUUUCAAAAGAUGCAGAUAGGGACCUAUGCCCAGAUCCUCAAAGGUACAUGAGAAUUUGUAACCAUAUCAAUUAAAGUGUUUGAAAGUGAAGGAACCCACAUUACUGAAGUGUAUGAUGAGAUGCUGAAGUCCAGGCUGAAAAAACAGGUUUCCUUUUUUAAAAGCUAAAAGAAAGUAUGAAAAAACGGAAUGUUCCUGACUAGGCAGUCAUCCUAUCAGAAGUAACUAAAUGAGUUGUCAAACAUAUAGCCUGUAGGUAUAAUACAACCUGCGAGAUAUAUCUGUGGUCUGCAUGGCGUUUUCAGAAUCUAAACUAUUUUUUGAAUGAAAGUUUCUAUUUUUUACCUAUUUAUGGAACAUAAUUAAAAAUGGAAUUUGA